rnacentral:rRNA from 1 species
UGCGCAGGUGGGCUUGUAAGUCAGUGGUGAAAUACUGCCGCUUAACGGUAGAACUGCCAUUGUUACUGCAAGUCUUGAGUAUGGUUGAGGUAGGCGGAAUGUGUUGUGUAGCGGUGAAAUGCAUAGAUAUGACACAGAACUCCAAUUGCGAAGGCAGCUUACUAAGCCAUUACUGACGCUGAGGCACGAAAGCGUGGGGAGCGAACAGGAUUAGAUACCCUGGUAGUCC